AUGAGUAGUCUGCACAUUAGUUUCUGCCUCCAAUUCUUUUUUCUUUUUUUUUUUUUUUUUUACUGUCUGUCUGUCUGUAAUUCCUUUCGUUGCCCAGAGUCCAUGUCUUUGAUUCUCGAGUGCACCUUCCUUUACCUGACUGCUCGGGUAGCUUUCAAUUCCUUCUCUGACGCUUCUGCACCCCGAGUGCUUAUUCCUAUUUUCAAUACUUCAAUCUCGGGACUAGAGUAGUGUCUCUCCUCCCACCAUUUAUCUACUAUUAUACUAUAAUUGAACAAUACUUUGUUUAAGCUAAGGCUGAAUUGUGAGGUGACCAACAUUUACAUCACCUGAACAGACUGAAACUUUUAUAACUAUAGAUUUUUUUCUUUCUUUUUGCCUUAAAGUCAUCUCUGCUAGGAAUAGUUAUGAGUAUUAGUUUUUCCAUAAAAUACACAAAACUUAUUUUUCUUAUAAUCUGUAUUUACCCUAAUAUUUGAGGUGAAUGUCUCAUGAUUAACAUUUGAAAAAUUCCCAGAGGGCAUGACCAAGGCUAAAGGGGCUAUGCCUAGUAGGUAGCAAUGAAGGUGACAGGGUUCACCUAUGGACCCAGCUCAGGAUGGGAGGUAGGAAAAGUAUAGCUACAACUGCAGUAUACAAACUGCAUUUGUUCAUCUAGGUAUAGUCAUGCCAACAUUGUGAAGGGUAUAUCCUAAGUGUGUAUAUGCUGAGAACUAAGUUGAGAGCAAAUACAAUGAGAAUUUACAAAGGAUUUCAUCUGUGUGGAAUAUAAGUUCACAAAGAUUUUCAAAAAUACUAAAGAUCAACAUGAGAGGUGAUCAUGAAACAAGAUUAUAUUAAAAAGUAUACAAAGCUUCUAUAAUAUUUGACGUAUUUAUCUACAAAUAUCUGCAAACAGUUCAGCAAAAUAAGAAGUAAAUUCAGUAAUGUCAAGACUCAUUUACAAACACGGGAAACCCAACAUAACAGACUGUAAGCAAAACAAAAAAUAAAUAAAAGAAAAAAAUGAACA
rnacentral:lncRNA from 1 species